AUGUCCUUGACUGUAGGGCAGUGUCCUUGGGAAGGGUGUUUAGAUCCGGUCCAUUACCCUACCCUAGGUACACAACAUCGUCAGGCACCACCUGCGCCCAUACACCAGGGUGAACAGCAAACACCGGAGGCAGCACAGAGCUAUACACAUGUAAGUAUCCAUUCAGAAAAAACAUACAAGCACAAUCCAUACCCUAGUACUGUGACCACCCCAUCUAACAUUUCCAUCACCGUGUUUUUGUUUGCUCACUGUUGCGUGCAGCCACCUAACAUUGAAGCUUACGUUCUGCCAAGUCUAGAGAUGUGAUUUGAAACUUUCAAACAAGCAAAGAACUUCUACAACGUCUAUGCAAAGCACGCGGGUUUUGCUGUCAGGGAAGGCUCCAAGGUUAACACCAGAUUCUACCUUUAUUGCACGUGCUAUGGAGUCUAUGAAUCGAAGGUGUGAGAAGCAAAUAGACAACAGAACAAGACCACAGCCAGGACUAACUGCGGGGCUAAAAUGAGGCUGAAGAGGGAAAAGGAUGGAACACUUGUCGUAAAAGAGAUAGUCUGGGAACACAAACAUAGGCUACAACUCUCCCCCAUGCUUGUCUUCUUGCACUCCCACAAAAACUUUGACAAAACAAUCUUGGAGUACGUCAAGUACCUGCAGUUCAAAGGCAUUGAACACGUGCAAAUCAUGAGCAUACUGGGCGGUGAUGACCCCGGUAGCUACUUCCUCGAAAUGGAUGCCAAAGACCUGAUUAACAUCAAAGCAAAUAAUUCAAGGAUGGAUGAUGUGGACGAUGUCCUAAAGACUGUCAACUUCUUUAGGGAGAUGAAAGAGAUAAACAGGGAAUUCUUCUGCGACAUACAACUUGAUGAGUCCGAUAGAGUGAAGAACAUAUUCUGGGCAAACACGAGCUGCCGAGGGGCGUAUCAAGACUUUGGUGACUGUGUAACGUUUGACACCACAUAUAAGACCAACAAGUACCAUAUGCCACUUGGGGUGUUUGUGGGUACUAACAACCACUUACAGACUACAUUCUUUGCUUUCACCCUGAUAAGAGAUGAGGAUGCAGAUUCAUUCAUAUGGCUGUUCAAAACAUUUUUAAGGUUCAUGAGAGGGAAGGCUCCUACAUGCAUCUUCACAGACCAGUGCCCGGCAAUGGCUUUGGCGAUCCCAGAUGCUUUCGGGAACACAGUACACAAGCUGUGUCACUGGCACAUUAUGAAGAAGUACAGGGAGCACCUCGCAUACCUGUACAACCUCCACGAAGACCUUAAGGAUGAAUUCACAGCAAUCCUCAACCGGCCCCUCAUGCCAACUAAGUUUGAGGCUACCUGGAAAGCACUCAUGGAUAAGUACAACCUCCAUGAUGAUGCCACGAUGGUGGCAAUGUGGAAUGAGCGCGAGAGAUGGAUAUCAGCUUACUUCAAAGAAAUAUUCUGUGCCAAAAUGAUGUCCACACAACGGAGUGAGAGGAUGAACUAUGUGCUCAAGAAGAACUUCAUAAGUGAGAGACAAAACCUGGAUCGGUUUGUCAGCCAGGUAAACUCCUGCAUCAAAACCAGGAGGUAG
rnacentral:rRNA from 1 species